UCCUACGGGGCGCAGCAGUGGGGAAUAUUGCACAAUGGGGGAAACCCUGAUGCAGCGACGCCGCGUGAGUGAAGAAGUAUUUCGGUAUGUAAAGCUCUAUCAGCAGGGAAGAAAAUGACGGUACCUGACUAAGAAGCCCCGGCUAACUACGUGCCAGCAGCCGCGGUAAUACGUAGGGGGCAAGCGUUAUCCGGAUUUACUGGGCGUAAAGGGAGCGUAGACGGCGCGGCAAGUCUGAAGUGAAAGCCCAGGGCUUAACCCUGGGACUGCUUUGGAAACUGUUAGACUAGAGUGCUGGAGAGGUA
rnacentral:rRNA from 1 species